GAGUUUGAUCCUGGCUCAGAACGAACGCUGGCGGCGUGCCUAACACAUGCAAGUCGAACGUGAUUCAGCCCUCGGGCUGAUGAAAGUGGCGCACGGGUGAGUAACACGUGGAUAAUCUACCCGGUAAUCAGGGAUACCAUCUCGAAAGGGGUGCUAAUACCGGAUAAGCUCACGAUCUCCUCGGAGAUUGCGGGAAAAGGUGGGGACCUUCGGGCCUGCCGUUAUCGGAUGAGUCCGCGUCCCAUUAGCUAGUUGGUAGGGUAAUGGCCUACCAAGGCUACGAUGGGUAGCUGGUCUGAGAGGAUGAUCAGCCACACUGGAACUGAGACACGGUCCAGACUCCUACGGGAGGCAGCAGUCGAGGAUUUUUCUCAAUGGGGGAAACCCUGAAGGAGCGACGCCGCGUGGGGGAUGAAGGUCUUCGGAUUGUAAACCCCUGUCAUCUGGGAACAAUGUGAUCUACCUAACACGUGGAUUAUUGAUAGUACCGGAAGAGGAAGCCGUGGCUAACUCUGUGCCAGCAGCCGCGGUAAUAC
rnacentral:rRNA from 1 species